rnacentral:rRNA from 1 species
CAGCAGCCGCGGGAAUACGAAGGGUGCAAGCGUUACUCGGAAUUACUGGGCGUAAAGCGUGCGUAGGUGGUGGUUUAAGUCCGUUGUGAAAGCCCUGGGCUCAACCUGGGAAUUGCAGUGGAUACUGGGUCACUAGAGUGUGGUAGAGGAUAGUGGAAUUUCCGGUGUAGCAGUGAAAUGCGUAGAGAUCGGGAGGAACAUCAGUGGCGAAGGCGGCCAUCUGGGGCAACACUGACGCUGAGGCACGAAAGCGUGGGGAGCAAACAGGAUUAGAUACCCCAGUAGUCCCUGUCUCUUAUAC